UUUUUUUUAAAGAAACAUUUAUUUUAAAUAUAUGGUGCUAUAGGGUAAAAAAAUAAGUUUUUUGACAUUAGAAAAAAAAAAUUAUUAUCAGAAUAAGGCUAGAAGCUUAUUAUGAUAUUCAAUUUUAAGUAGUUUUAAAAACUUAAAAUAAAUGGCAGUAAAAUAUUCAGGUUAAGGAAUUUUGAAGAAUAAUUUGAAAAUCCUCAAUUUAAUUUACUUUAAAAAAUUUUUUGUGCGGCUGUUUAAUGAAAAUUUUAAAAUAUAGUUAAAGUCAGGUUUUGCGUCAUAAUUAUUUAAAGGAAUUUUUGAAAUGCGGUAUAAGAUUAAUUUUCUACAUUAAUAAAUACAGUACUUAAUAGUAAUUUAUAAUAAAAUAAAA
rnacentral:rRNA from 1 species